CCAGUGGCUCACCCUUAUGCGCUGGCAACACGCAGGCGAUGCAGGCUGCCCAAACACCACUGCCUUGCAUGAAUUGAUGCCUAGCUGUCUUUCCUGCUUACACUGGCUGGGACUCAACUCUGCACCUUCCACCACCCUCGCCAUUAACAUCAUUCCCAGCAAGAUCAGCACCCAGAAGGCCCAUGAAGAACUACUGCAUUUCCUCCUUAUUCCUUCCAUGUCUCACACCACCACAGUUGGAUCCACAAUCAUUCAUAUAGGCACACUAGUGGGUGUGGAGCUUAAUCAUAUUUCAAUUCUGGCGGCUAAGACUUGCACCUUCAAGGAAGCUGAAAGUCUCUUGUUGAAAAGAAAAUUUUGCCCUUGUUCAAUUCUCCACUAAUGAUUUUGUCCCCCACUAGCCUUGGCUUAUGAAAGGACCCCACUUUAGUCUCUUGGUUCCUUUUUGACUUACUGUGAGGACACCAGUGUUGUCUCCAUCAAACCCUUGAUGAGAAAUAUUUGAUAUAUUCUUUAAAUUGUUUCCUCGAUUUGCUUUAAUUCCAUGAUAUGCCAUGCUAUUCCCUUUCAAAAUCGAACUCAAUUCUAAACAGUAUCCAUUUAAAGGGGCAACUCAGAUAUCUAGUAUUACUGAUUUGCCUUAUGGUGAAACUUCAUCGUGGGCGUCUCAUACUUUUUCAAGGCAACCAUUUUGUGUAUGGGAGGAUAGAAUUGAAGGAUAUAAAACAAUAUAUUCUUUUAACUUUUUGUGCGUAGUGGAGGAAUGAAAAGUUGGCAUUGAUUGUAUUUUUCUCACAUUAAUAUCAGAGCUUAAAGUUAACUAAUAAAUUGAAAGGUACAAUACUCUCCUUCCCCUUUAACUGUCUUUAAAUGGCUUCAACGAGUGAAUCAAUUAUUUAGGGGAAAAAAAAUUGUCAUGUCUACUUGACUGAGAGUAGAACUUCACUUUGGUAGCUAGCUUUAUGUUUCUUCACCUAUUUUGCUAAGUUUUUUUUAUUUAUUAUUAUUUUAAAAUAAAAUAAAGCAAAGUAAAAUAAUGUUGAAAAUAUAAUUCAAUCAAAGAAUGAUUAUCUUGUACUUUUUUUUAUUUGAAAUAUCGUAUGGAAUUUUUAUCUUAGCUUGGUUCCCUAGAAUGCCUUAAGGGUAACUAAAAAAACCUAUUCUUUAUACAUUAAGAUAAUUAUUUCAAAAAUUUUAGAAAUUUCUUUUCAAUUUAAAAAAAAUGAAAAAUGUUUGGAGUGACCACUUAUUUUUGUUUUAUUUUUAAAGAAAAAAAUAAAAGAAAAAAUAAAAACCCUAAAUGCGACUCUUGAAGAAAAAACAGGUAUAUAAAAAAUCAAGUUUAGGUCCAAAGUUAGAUUACCUAUUGGAAAAGUACAGUGAUAAAUCGUAACAUCCCUCUAAGCUUUAAAUAUUAAGUCUUUACUAAUCAGUUAAGACAAGUGUAACAAUUGAUUAAUUAAUCAUGGAUACCAAACAAUAAUCAAAUAUAUACUAUAACUAAGGUACGUAAUGGAAAGUGAUCAAAUAAAUAAGAAAAUAUAGGAUACAUACCUAAGUAGCAAAUCAAUAACAAGUUAUCAUGAAAAUUGGGUUAGUGAACAAGUACAAAUUAAUCACAUGUAUGUCACAAUAUCAAACAAAGAUCAAUCAUUAGUCAUUGAGCAUAUCAAUUAAAAUUAAUAAUCAAAGAGAAUGACACAAAUAUUGGGCCCCAUCCCACCAAUUUCCAAUUGAUUUUGCAUGAAUUAAUCCAUCGAUUUCAUUAUUUUUAGAAUAGCAAAAUUUAUUCAUGCUUAAAAAUUGAGAAAAUCAAGAAAAACUAUAAAAGGUGCUUGCUGAAGGAAAUAUGGCGCAAUGUUUAUUAAAAUCAGGGCUUUAGUGCCUAAAAUAGUCUAAAGAUGAACUUUUAAAACUGGGUUUAUUUCAAUGGAAAACAGUUUUGAAAAUAUGAUUGAAAAAGAAAUAGCAAAUUACCAAAAAGAAGCAUAUGGAAGAAGAGAGUGUGCACCAAGGUGCCAUGCAUACCUAGGGGCUUGGGGUGCAAUUGUAUUUGAUGUUGGUGGUUUCAAUUCCUUGCUCAAUGACAUCAUUUAUCUCAAUCAUAGUUCAAAGUCACGGUAUCAAUCAUUGACUCGGGAGAUCCUGAGGCACAUCAAUCUUAGUAUCUAGGAUCAAUAUCGAGUGAUACGCAAAAAAUUCUAAUUUAAGAGCUCAAAAUAAUUUUUAAAAAUUAUGAAAAUUAUUAAAAAAAAAUUAAAUACAAAUAAGUAGAGUAAAAAAUUAAUAAAAUAAACUUCUAUUAUAUUAAAAUUAUUCAAAUUAUAAUAAAAACAUACUUUUGGGAUGAUUUAUAAUAAUAUUAAAAAUCUCUAAAAAUAUUUUAAUUUAAUCACUUGAUAAUAAAUGUUUCUUAUUGAAGAUGAAAAUAGUAAAGAGUAAAUUUUUUUUUAUAAAAAAUUGUUUAAAUUAAAUAUUUUGAAUUUUGAAAAAAAUAUUUUCAAUCAUUAAAAAAUUAAAACCAUGAUUCAUCUUUAAAAAAAUAAAUAUCAUUUUUCUUAUAAAAUAUAUUCAUUAAUUUUAAUUUUUAUAUAAAUAUUCAUUUCCUAUUUAUUUUAUAUAAGUCUAAUAUUCAUUAUUCAUUUUUUAUCAUUAUAAUUUUCAUCAAAUUAUUUAAAACUCAAAUCCCCACCAAAUACUCAUUAUCUACUUAAAAAACAAAUACAUAUUAUUUAAAACUCAAAUCAUCAUCUCUGUUUGAUACCCAUAACCCUCAUCCACCGGUUAAACACCCAUCUCUUUCAAAAUACUCAUUUUUCCUCUAAACCCACAAGUUUCAAGCAGCUCCUUGGUAGGCCCACUUUCUCUCUUCGCCCACUUCUAUCAACCACCUCACUGUCAUUUUCUGUCGAUAACAACGGUGUCGAAGUCUGACGACUCUAUCUCCUCCUCAUGUCGCUCAGUUCCAUCUCCAACGGGAACUUGGGCGAUUAGAACAAGCAGAUGUGCUUCUUCGACCUCGCUGACUGGCCACAACUCCUUAUUUCUUUGCAAAAUACCACAACUCCCUAUUUCUCUGCACAACACCCAUUUUUGAAGAGUUUUUAGACCAAAGACAAACUAUCUUUAUGAAGAUACAGAAGGAUGAAGAUGCAAGGUUCUAACUCUCUUUAUUUUUCAUUUUCAUGGGUUUUGAUCCUCUCAUCUUCUCCACCAUUUAUACUCCAAUAUUACCUUUUUUUCCAUUACCAAUUACCCAAAUAGUUUAAUCUCAACAUGAUCUUGGAAUUGUCUCAAAGUUUCCAUGGGAUUCACUCCGAAACUAUUCAUUUAUCUUCAAUUCAACCGAGUUUGUUCACAAGCUAACAAAAUAUCCAACUCGGGUAUCAAUCCAGUACCAACCAUGGUUGAGGCGGAUACGACUCGAUUGAGUCGUAUCGGUCUCAGCCAAGAUUUUGAACCCUGAUCUCAAUAGCAUGUGUUCCAACUGCCUGAUCAUUCUAAAUGAGACAAAAUGCCCUCAUUUUCUGCAAUUUCAUUGUGUUGGAUAUCCCUCAAGGAGGAUCCCAUCAGAGAACCCACCCCAUUGUCCAUGGGGAUGUUUCCAGCAUUUAAUUCUAAUGAUAAGCCAACUUUGGAAGAAAACACCAUGUCCCUUCCUUCCAACCCAAUAGUUUCAACCAAAGGAACUGAUGAAAGAUCCAUUGAAAUAGCAGUCAGACCAACAAUCUCAUUACAAACUACUCCCUUCAAAAUGCAUUUUGGUUCCAAAAUCUUACUUGAACACUAACUUAGUCUUCGGUAUAUUUUCAAGCACUAAUUGUCCAAGAUUCUUCAAGGUACCCAUCAUAUUCUGGUCAAUAGCACCCGACAACUUUCUUAAGUGAGGAGUUUAUGGUCAUCGGAGCUCUAUGAAACAAGUUUCCAAAUAUGUUCGAAGUUAAUCUCAAAUGAAAAGUUGGGUAGGAACAUUGCUUUGAACUUCAUCUUUCCAUCAUAGAGGCCUUGAUUUGAGUCGGGCUUCUAGUAAGCAUAGCAGCUUGCUUUCCAUAUCGGUCGCCACCUCCCUCUUAAUCACCACAAACUCUUAUCACAUUGUCUUCAUCAAUUAAUUAGUCAUGGCAUUCCACAUCUCAACGUCAUCAACAAGCUUCUGGCAAGCUGGGGCUGUUAACCACACAAAGAAACUACCAAGUCACAACAUACAGUUUAGCUUCUGAAAGAAUUUUACCAUUCUCUGUGCUCAUAGCAGCAGAUGUACCCAAGAUUCCUCUCUCUAAACUUGACUGGUAGUAGUGUUGUAAAGCUAAAGAACCAGAGGAAUUAAUCUUUUCAACUUGUUUGACCCAUUUAUGGUUCUCCCAUUCUAUAAUGUUCAUUGUUAUAUCACCACCUGAAGAUGCUGUAACAGGAGAGCCAUGUGGAAUGAAACUCCUAGCAUGUCAAAACUAGGUCCACUUGUUGAGUGAUGACAAACAGAGAAGGGUGUACACCAUCGAAAUGCUCCUUAUUGAUCAGAGAAAAGAUGUCAAAGAUUCUGAUAUUAUUUAUAACAAUUACUCCUAUCCAUGUUCACAAUCAAUCAAAACUGCUUGAUUUUUUUUUUCUCUUUAAAUAAAGCGUCUACUCCCAAAUAAAUUUAUUAAGUUAAGAUUUAUUGCAAUAUAUUAUUUUAUUUUUUCAAAACCAACCAUCACACUAUAUCAUGUUCCCAAGUAUAAUAUAUUCAUUUGUCCUUUUUUCCACCCCAAGUGAUAACUCAAAUAGUUACAAUAAUUUCUAAGUCAAAAAGAAUAUUUCUAAAAAUAUUUUACAAACUAACAAAAUAUAAUUUAAAUUACAAAAGUCCAUAUAACUCAAAUUAAUACAUUUCAAAAAUGUAAUAUAAUGAAAAACAAUCAAUAUUAUGAUUUUUUUUACUUUCGGGUGCUUUCUGGAACACUUCCUAUUCUUCUUGUAGUUUCUCGAAAACUAUAUCUACAUCUAAGAAUAUUAGAAAAUAAAAAGGUAAGCAUUUCCACGUUACUCAGUAGGGUGUUUUACAUCCAAAUGGGUUAGAAAUUCUAGAUCAAUAAAACACAACCAUAUGUCAAAAUAUAAAUUUACAUUUACAUUAUACACACUAAAAAAAAAUACAAUCAUACAAAUUUAAACCAAUCAAAAUUAUCAUUUGUCUUAUUCAAUCGAUUAUCUAGCAUAUCAACAAUUUUAAAUUUACAAAAUAAAUAAGUCAUUUUAGUCUUGAAUAAUAUAUUCAAAUAUACACUUGAUAAAUAAUACAAAUCUUUCUUCCAAAUGCAACCACGAUACAAAUGCUUACACCCAAUCAUGCAAUGCACUGUAGUUUUCAGGCUUUCACCAAAGAAUACGCAUCCGUACUCAAAUACACUCUCUAUUCGGAGUCUUCUUGGGGUAAACUUUGGAGUCUUUCACCCUAAGGAUCUCACUCCCUUCUUAAUUCGCCCUUUCUGAGUUCAUUCCAUUUCUCAUUUUUCUUUUCUUUUCAUUUUUGCCCUCUUUACAGUCUUUUCAUUCUCAUUUCUAUUUCGCAUAACCAUUUCUUCAAUUUUUCUUUUUCUUCACACAGCCAUGAUUCAUAUGAAGUGAAAACCAAAUCAUAUUUUAACAUUCAUAAGUUUCCAAGACAUAAUUCUAUUUACUCCCAUUAUGUUUCAUGAUUUCCAACAAUCCACACAACGAUUUUUCUUCACUUUAAUCACCACAAAUAUCAAAGAAAAUUCGAAAUUAAUUUGUAUAGCAUCAAAACAUAGUUUUAAACCUUAACCAUAUAAAUUCUAUUUAUUCCCGACAUACUUAAUAAUUUCCAAUAACCAAUAUAACAAUUUUUUUUUUUUUUUUUGUCAAUUACAUAACCACACAUAUCCAAUAAAAUUUCCACUAAUACAAAUAUCAACAAAAACACAAUUUAUAUCAUAAUUUAUUUAUCUCCAAUAAUCUCAAUAAUUUUAACACCUAAUACAACAAGUUUAAUUAAGCCACCACGACAUUUGGAGAAAAAUUUCCAAUAAUUCAAAUAUUAACAAAAACCCAAUUUAUAUCAUCAUUUUAUUUAUUUCUAAUAAUAUCAAUAAUUUUAAUAACCAAUACAACAAUUUCCCACAACUAAAUUACCAAAAACAUCCUAAUAAAUUCUCAAUAAUCCUAAUAUCAAUCAAACAUAAUUUCUACCAUAAUUUUAUUUAUUCUUAAUAAUCCCAAUAAUUUUUUUUAUAACCAAACACAAUCAUUUUCCACAAUUAAAUUACCAAAAACAUCCCAAUAAAUUCUCAAUAAUCCCAAUAUCAAUCAAAAANNNNNNNNNNNNNNNNNNNNNNNNNNNNNNNNNNNNNNNNNNNNNNNNNNNNNNNNNNNNNNNNNNNNNNNNNNNNNNNNNNNNNNNNNNNNNNNNNNNNAAUUUUUCUUUUUCUUCACACAGCCAUGAUUCAUAUGAAGUGAAAACCAAAUCAUAUUUUAACAUUCAUAAGUUUCCAAGACAUAAUUCUAUUUACUCCCAUUAUGUUUCAUGAUUUCCAACAAUCCACACAACGAUUUUUCUUCACUUUAAUCACCACAAAUAUCAAAGAAAAUUCGAAAUUAAUUUGUAUAGCAUCAAAACAUAGUUUUAAACCUUAACCAUAUAAAUUCUAUUUAUUCCCGACAUACUUAAUAAUUUCCAAUAACCAAUAUAACAAUUUUUUUUUUUUUUUUGUCAAUUACAUAACCACACAUAUCCAAUAAAAUUUCCACUAAUACAAAUAUCAACAAAAACACAAUUUAUAUCAUAAUUUAUUUAUCUCCAAUAAUCUCAAUAAUUUUAACACCUAAUACAACAAGUUUCCACAAUUAAGCCACCACGACAUUUGGAGAAAAAUUUCCAAUAAUUCAAAUAUUAACAAAAACCCAAUUUAUAUCAUCAUUUUAUUUAUUUCUAAUAAUAUCAAUAAUUUUAAUAACCAAUACAACAAUUUCCCACAACUAAAUUACCAAAAACAUCCUAAUAAAUUCUCAAUAAUCCUAAUAUCAAUCAAACAUAAUUUCUACCAUAAUUUUAUUUAUUCUUAAUAAUCCCAAUAAAUUUUUUAUAACCAAACACAAUCAUUUUCCACAAUUAAAUUACCAAAAACAUCCCAAUAAAUUCUCAAUAAUCCCAAUAUCAAUCAAAAAUAAUUUCUACCAUAAUUUAUUUAUUCUCAAUAAUCUCAAUAAUUUUAAAUAACCAAACACAAUAAUUUUCCACAAUUUAAAUCACCAAAAACAUACCAAUAAAUUCUAAAUAAUCCCAAUAUCAAUCAAACAUAAUUUCUACCAUAAUUUUAUUUAUUCUCAAUAAUCCCAAUAAUUUUUAAUAACCAAACACAAUCAUUUUUCAUAAUUUAAAUCACCUCACUAUCACAAAAAUUCCAAAGAAAAGUCCUAAAUCACCCAAUAAAUUUCUCGUAUCACAAAUAUUACCUAUUUAACUUUCAACAACGAGAUUUAUAAUUCUUUUAAAGAAAAAUGCAUUAAAUAAAAGUUUUAGGGUUAAGUCUCCCUACCUUAGAUCUGAAAAUCUAAAUGUUUAAAUGAAAAUAAAACUUUGUAAGAGUGUUCAGAAUAUCCUUCCAAAAUUUUAUGCAAAACGGACGCCAUUUGGUAGGUCCACUAGCUCACUAAAGCUAACACCCCAUUUUUCCUACUCUCUAUCGACGACUCCCAGCAUUUCUUCCUCUACUUCCUUUCUUUCUUUUCUUUUAUUUUUUCUUCGUCAAUUUCACUUUAUAUAUUAUAUAUUAUUAUUAAAACAAAUCCUAAAAUAUCACGCACAUCCCUUUCUCAAUAAAUUAAAAUCAUCAUUCUUAAAUUCACCUUCCCAAUUAUAAAUUAUACUCAACUUAUAAUUUUCCAGCUCACGAAAAAUACUAUCAUAUUUAUAAUUAAAUUUACUACAAGUUUAUUUUUUUUUUAAAUAUAUAUAAUUUGACUUUAAUUACCUGAAACAUUUUUAUUAUGAAAUUCAUUUAAAACAUAAUAUAAUUAACUAUUAAUAAAUUAGAAAUAUAAAAUAUUUUUUUUGGCAACCAAGAAGUUAGAAUUUGUAAUAACUAAUAACCCUUAACCCAUUAAUUUUACCAAUAUUUAUUUACUAACAAAAAUUUAAACAAUAUAUUGAAACUUAAUUCCGUAAAUGCAUAUUUAAUUAAUUUAUCCCUUUGUAUAUUUUUUCUAAAUUCACAUAUCAUAAUUUAAUCUUAAUUUAAUUUCAAUUCAAUUUUGUUUGAUGUUUUGUAAUUUUAUGAAGUUUAAUUUCAAUUAUAAAAAUUAAAUUCAAAUUCUUUUUAAUUAUCCAUUAUAACAAUUCGAAAUAAUAUAAAUUUUUACCAAAUUUUCUUCCUAUGGUUUUCUGAUAAUUACCCCGAUAAUAAUUAAAUUAAUUCUCGUAACAUACUUAAUAUUCAAAUUUUCAAAACCUAAUCUCAAUUAUUUGAUGGUUAAAUUUUUUUCUCUAGAUCUAAAUUUAAUUUCUGAAAUUCUCACUCCUUAUAUCUGACAUGACAAAAUUUUCAAACUAUUGACUUUUGACCAACUUUUUCAAAAUCUUUCCCAAUUAAAUAUUAAAACGUAGAUCUUCACCACUCUUUUUUACUAUUUGACCCACAAUUUUAUGAAAGACUUCAUGCUCUGAGAAUCUAACGUGUCCUUAAAAGCCCGAGUAUUAUAGAAGACACCAGCAAUUUCCAUAAUCAUGCAUAACUUUCCUUUGACAUCAGCAACAAUAGGCUUUCCAAGUUUUGUCCAUAAAGGAUUAGAUGUUUGGGAUCCUUGACCUAUUUACAUUUUCCAGGUGCUUUGAAAGCAUUUUUCUUAGAUGUUCUAAACCCAUUCUGUGAACAAUGUGCUUAUCCUCAUUUAUCUCUGUAGCUCCAUCAGAUUCAUUCACUUUGGGAACCAUCCCUCCAUUAAUUUCUUCCCAUGAUGGAGCAUGUCAUGCAUGCCAUGCAAACAUAGAGAUGGAAAAGGCAAAAGAGAGAUCUGGUAGAGGUACAACUACACGUUGCUAUUGCUCAGGACAAAGUAAGUUUUGUACAAAAUAGAUAUGAACUGAGAGCAACAACAAAGAUCGUUAGCUUUCGUGUUAGAGGCCUCCAAGGUUUGCUCGUUUGUCAUCAUUCAUUCAACUAGAUGCAUAGGUGGGAAAUGGUGGCCAAAAAUUCGAAGUUCUUGGGGUUUCUUAAUCUACAAAUGAUGUCUAAGAAAUGAAAUUGCCAAUGUUGUGUGUCUUCCAUUCCCUUGUGUUCUUGAGCCAUUUCUUGUUGGAUUGGUUGCUUAUAACUCCACUUGAGUCCCAUCAAGCUCUCUUAAAUAUGUACUAGGAGCUUGCAUAAAUCAUCUUGCUUCUGACCAUUGAUGUAUUGGGAAACCACAACAUUACAAGGCCAUGUGAGAGAUAUAACCACAAAUAGACCCUCAACAAUGAGUUCACUUUGCAAAUUGAAUUCCUUCUUGGUGUGUAGAACAGCCCCAAUAAUGAUAGCAUUGAAUUUGAUUGCAUUAGGCUCAAAUGACUUGAAGUUUUUAAAUAGGAAUUCAAACUCACAGACAUCACUAAUGUAGAGCUAGGUUGUCACCCGCCAAAUUCUUAGCAACCCAACUCGUGAUCCAAGUCAAAGGUUUGAUCCUAAGGAUUACACCUAUCCAAACAGACAAUCAAUCCUAAACAAGAUAAUAACGUUACAAAAUUCAUAUUUUAAUCAUAAUUCAACAUGAUAAGUGAACUAUGGAUGUGUGAAAGCAUAUGAAUAAUGGAAGGAGACAAAAAUAUGCAAAACAAUUAUUGGGUUGUGCCUAUACAUUUAUUAUUGAAUAUUAAUGAACAUAAACUUGUUAAUUAAUAGUUAAAUAAAUAAAUAAAGCUUAAGUUGACCUAACAACUUUAAGCCUAACCAUGGACCAGGCCUAAAACUUUCUCGGAGGCUUAACAUUGGGCCAACUUUAGCCCUAUUUUUUGGGUUAGGAUUAGGGUAGGCCUACACACAUGGGAGAGAGAAUAUUAUUUUGAGACUCAGUAUAAAGCUGUCACUCGAGCAACUUGGGUUGGGUCCAGCAAGGGCUCAACUUGAAUUGAUAAAUGCAUAGCAUCAACCACAGCCAACCCAACCUCUAACCAACAUAUUUAACUUAAAUCAUUCUCAUUUUCCAGGGGCUUGAUGUGUUCUUGAAAUUGAACAUUUUAAUACCUAACAUUAUAUAAAAUAUUUAAAAUAAUAGGAAAAAAUUAAAAUUAUACAAAAUAAUUAUAAAAAAAAAAAUCCUAAUAUCCAUUUCAAAAAUAAUAGAAAAAUAUCAAUCACAAGCAUAAAUUUCAAAAUAAAAUGGAUUUAUUAUACAUUUAUCAAAAGGAAUAUUUAACUCGUUCAGGUAAUAUUACUUAUCAUAAAGUAAACAUUUUAAUCAAAUUCUUGAUUUUAAUUCUCUAAUCUUUCGUUCCUUUAAAUUGCUUAUUCAUUUUCUCGGAAAAAAGAAACAAAAAAAAUGAAGUAAACAUUCCAUUGGCUCUUAGGUGUACACCCCUCUCCUUAUUAGUUUUGGUCCUUGUUAGUUUUGGAUAUUGAGUUAGUUGUUGGCUAGCAACAACAGUCUUUGUUAACCUAGGAUAUUGGCUUGGAUGUUAUUUACGAAAAUUCAACCCAUGACCUCAAGUUUGAAAAGAAGCAAAUGUGCCACCAAGUCAAUUUUGUUAUUUAUAAUAUAAAAUAUAUAUAUAUAUAUAUAUAUAUAUAUAUAUAUAUAUAUAUAUUUCAUAAAUAUAAAUAUUCUAUACUUAUACAUUUAUAUUAUAAAUAUUAUCUAUAUAUAAAUACAUAUUAUAAAUUAUACAUGCAUUGACUAAUAUAUAUUAUAAUUUAAUUAAUUGUGAUUGUUGUGUAUUUUGUAUAAUAAUUAAAUAUUAAAGAAAUAUAAAUUUAUAAAUAAAAUUAUCAACAUUUUAAAAUAAAAAUACUUAUAUAUAUGUAUUAUCAUUUUUUUAUGUUAUUCAAUACAUUUAAAUUAGAUAAAUUUCUAUAAAAUAUAUUUUAAAAUUUUAAAUAUUAUUAUUCAAUGUUACAAAUUAUAUCUUAUAUAUGUCAAUGUAGACCCCUCUUUUGGCUUUAUUUUUAUAUAUAUAUAUUUGUUUCAUUCAUUCUAAGCUUUUUCCCGCCACCUUUGAGGAGUGGCUGGGUGGGGACGACUUCUAAGGGCGAGCUACUGGAGACGCGUGGCUGGGGGAACUGACCAUCACCAUGGUGGUGGUUGGGACGGCGACGAGCUAAGCGGUGAAUAGGAGAGCAGGUCCAGGGCUGACGGAAGAAAAGAAAGUUUUGACUGAAAGCUGAAUGGGAAAGGAGGCCCAAGCGGAGUCGCGGAGAGUAGGGAAAGAGCUUGUUAGUUCGAUCCAGAGCCACAAGAUGGUUUUGGGUUGAAUGUGAUUAUCUACCCAUAUAUGCUCUAUUUUGGUCCUCUUUGUUGCUCUCGUUUUUUUUUUUCCUUUGUAAAUGGCCCAUGUGCAUGGAGAAAAGUUUAACUUGUCCAAGCAAAGGCUUCAUGUUCUUAUGAUGAAUAACACGGUUACCACAUGUCUACGCCUUCUUCACUGUUCGCGUCAGCCAUACCCAUUUCCUCACUCAAGCUUGCAGGAAUCAAGCAUCCUCCACCACACCCAUUUUCCUCUCAUUCAUUCUCCACCCCACUCCCUCACUUACAUGGAGUCUCACGGGUGCAUGCUAUCCUUCACUCCUUCACAUACCCAUUAAAACCACUCACCCAAGCCUCCAUAUCCAUACAACCCAUACACAUCAUUCAUGCUACUCAUAACCAUGUUCUACCAUACCCAUGUGUACACCCAUUUAACCAUACCACCAAACCCGUUUCUCUCUCUAAACCUUCACCUACCUGUGAGAUCUUCCCUAAAAAAUGCCACGUGGCUCUCUCUCCCUUGCACACGCAGACGGUCCCCCUUGCGAUGCGCGGCAUAGCUCAUUCCACCCGGGAAAGAAUUCUGUCUGGUCGACGUUCAACCUUCUCCGGAUGUCUCACAUCCGGAAUUUUGUCCGGCCGACGUUCCACCAUCUCCGGAUAUCUCACAUCCGGAAUUCUGUCCGGUCGACGUUCCACCUUCUCCGGAUAUCUCACAUCGGGAAUUCUGUCCGGCCGACGUUCCACUUUCUCCGAAUAUCUCACAUCCGGAAUUCUGUCCGGUCAACGUUCCACCUUUUCCAGAUAUCUCACAUCGGGAAUUCUGUCCGGCCGACGUUCCACCUUCUCCGGAUAUUUCACAUCCGACGCUUGACGCCGAAUGGGAGAGGAUGGCAAUUCAACUUCCCCAGUCAGACAUGUCCGGAUCCUCUGAUAGCGCUUUAUGGAUCACUGCCCAGGUUCGCAUCCACAUCUGUUCGGGUCAUUUUCUGUAUACAUAUUUAGAUUCUUACAUGUGCAUGAUCACUCUGAGUAUUCAUUGAUUCCCUCAUCAAUUGCCAUGAUUGCUCCAUUUUAUUAGUAGAGACCCGUUUUAGGGACUUAGAGGGGUGCUACGGUCUUUACCGUACCUUCCCGAUAAGUAACCUGACCCCCGAACCCGAUCCGGUUUUUCACAGACCACCUUUUCCAAAAUAAGGAGUCACACUUAAGGUUUUUUCUUUCUUAUUUUGUUUACUCUUUAAAAAUAAAACAAAAAUAAGUGGCAACUCCAAGUCAUUUUUUUCAACCAAAUAAAUAAAUCAAUUUUUCAAAAUAAAAAUCGAGCUCACCAUCAAGUGGGGAGCGCAUGAGCCGAAAUGCGGGGUCCACAAAAUGGCGACUCUGCUAGGGAUUCACUAGAGGGUCAAGCUUGAACAUAAAUUGAGGCAAAUGUGGCGUUUGAUUGGUCUAUCAGUGGGUACCCACCUCUCUUUGUGCCCACCUCUCUUUGUGCGUGUGUUUAUUUGACUAUUGAUUACACAUUAAGAGCUCUCGAUAUCAUUACACUUGAAUGCAUGCUUGGGUGUUUGUUUUUACUAAAGACAUUGACAUGUUGAUUAUGAUGAUUGUUUAUCUUGAUUGAGCAUUCUGAUUGUGGCGUUUUUUCCCGUGCUUCAUAGCUAUAUUUGUUUGGGACAUUGAUAUGCUGAUUAUGUUGAUUGAUCAUCUUACCUUACUUAGCAUAGUGACUCUGAUUUUGCCAUGUUUGUUCUGAUUACCUCACAUGUAUAGACUCACCAUUGUAUAUCAUUUGAUUUGACAUGAUUGAUUCUCUCAGUUAUAUAUUAUCUUGUUUAUCAUAGAGUAUGCUAUCAUUUGUCAGAUAUUCUUCUUGAUUAGCUUGUGUGUAAAUUUGGAUGACAUAUACCUGUUUUGCAUGACUGUCUGUUGCAUGACCCCUCUCAUCCUGAUGUGACUGCAUGAGUUGUGUGUCUAUGUGGGGCACACACUUAUCCCCUUAUUUCCAAGUCCCUAGUCUCGGUUCGACAUUGUUUUCCUUGAUCUCAUAUUUGAUAUGAGACUUGUUUGCUUUGUUUGCUCUUCGACUGAGCUAGUGAUCAGGAGUAGGGUCUAGCUCUGGGCUAUAUCUAUGUUUGGGAGCAUUCUGGAGGUGGUCGACAUAUUGAUGCUGAUUGGAGUCCGAACUUUGAAGACUUGUAUAGCCCAGAGCUAGAUUUCAGGAUAUUUGUGUGGUCAGUGUGUUUUCUUUUAGCUUCAUAGGAUUUUCGGAUGCACCCACACUGUUCACUAUGCACUCUAGUUGACCAUUGAGCGCUGAGAGUUGUGAGAGCUUUCACUAUAAGAACCCUCUGGGAUGUCGAGGGAGUGCAUGUGUGGAGGUAAUGACCACCUUGCAUGGAAACGCCCCGUCUCUUCGAAGACUUGUAGAGGGUUGUGUACCACUGGAGGGUAUGAUCGCUUCUGCUAGGGAUCCUUUAAAGUCCCAUCAUUUUUCUUUUUAGAGCCACCUUGACCUCGUAGGUUGAGCCGUAGAUCCUUCGAUUAAGACUUCCUUCCCUACACGUGAGUGCAUCUAAGGGCCUUCAAAGCCUCUUUAGUUACAGUUCGGAUCCAGUACUUCCUCAUUUGGUCUCCAGUUGAGAGUGCUUAGAGAUCAGUGCGAGUUUGGGAAUCAGUUGGACCACCCUUUAUUGUAUGGUUUCGGUUUCUUCUUGUCGCUCAUUGAGUUUAGCACACUUUCUUCCUAGGACUUUAGAUAGUCUUCUUUUCUUAGGCUGACACAUUCUUUCAGUUUGUUGUCACUUUCUACUUGAUGUUUUGAGAUAUGUUCAUUGAUUAUGCUCACUUUUUUAUAUUCUUCACCUAUCAUGGGCUUGAUACUUCAUUCUUUGGUUGAGUCGUCUGAUUCUAUUUUCAACCAGAUUUUCAUUACAAAAAGGUGAAAUGCAGGUUUUCACAUUCACACCAUUUUUUUCGAUGUCCGCCUUUACCACCUGAUCAUUUUUCUUUAUUGAGUUUGUGUUGAAAGUGAAUCAGAAAUAUUGUUGUUAUAGAUGGAGUAUCGAUCUCAUGACAGUGUUGUUUUUCACACCUCAUUCAUUUUUUGGAUCGUUAAUAGAAAUUCUUUAGUCACAUUUGUAGUCAUCUCACAAUGGACACCUUUAUGACCUUAGAGUUUCUGUCAUAUAUAGAUUGCCAUCACAGGGCCAUAUAUCAAAUGAUGUGUUGUACUUUUGACUUAGGACAUUUAUUCAUUUGCACAUCACGAUCACUCUGGCCUGACCUAUCAUGGAGGAUAUUAAGCCUAUUGACCUAGGAUCAGGAGAUCGACCUAGGGAGUUCGAGAUUGUGACUCAUUUCACUUUCUGAUCAAAGCAGUACCAUAUCCAUAUCCAUACCCUGACUCUGUGGACUUGUUGACCUACCCAUUUUGAGCCUAACAUGACACCACCCCUUGGCACCAUUACACAACUUUACUACCCUUGUUCGCCUUAUCAUGCUACAGUACCAUUGUCUUUCCUUUCCAUCAUUUCCUUAAUCUGACUAGGUAGAGUCCGAGAUGGUUAGACCCGAGGUGAGCUUUACACGAUGAUAGAUGGAUCAUGAUGAGAGAGUGGCUUGAUUGUUUGACGAUAUUGUUGAAAUAGAGGGGUUAUCAUGGAGCAUCCAGAUUUGAGUCAUUGCACAUGACUUCAGAGAGUCGGGAUGAUUAGACAUGGUGAUUUUAUGAGAUGAUGGUGAGUGACUUGUGAUGAUAGAGUGAAUUGAUUUUUAGAGUACAUUGAUGGUUGUCAUAGAGCAUCAGUGGGAGCUUUCGCACGAUUUCAGAGGAGUCGCCAUGACUAUGUUGGAUGGAUGCCAAUCUUUAGUAUUGGCCAUGUGAGAUCUCGAAAGCACGAUGUUCGAGGUUUUGGUCAAAGGAUGGGUGGCCAUCAUUUCAUGAGCCUAUUUACUUUAUCAUCCUCACAUAUAGAGUUACCCGUUGCUAGCCCUUUGAGCCUCACAUGAGCACAUAACCUUUUCUUUCAUCACCUCAUUUACCUAUUACACCGGGUUGGGGAUCCUGUAGUGCUUGCAUGCUAUGUUUGGAUACGUCAUGAGUUCCAAACCUGACAUACAUAUUCGAGCCUCAUUCUUCACUCUUCACUGUGAUAUUUUCCGUUUGGGCAUCAUUUCAUCACUAUUUUCCGAUAUCACAUACCACCACUUGUGAUAUUCGUUCUCUGUCUUUUCCUUUCCUCAUUGAUUACUCGACAUUAUCCUUGUUUCACCUUGAGUGGUGGUUUUUCACACGUCACUGCAUGGAGGAUUCUCACAUUCUUUCCUAUCAUUCACCCCAUGGGCAGUGGUUCAGAAAUGUUAUUUUGAGAGGUUGUCUUGUUAGUGAGGAUUCAUGUUACAUUCGUAUGUGGAGAGGGUUUGAUCAUUUGGGUAUGUAUUUUCAUGGGAGUAUAUUCAUUAUUGAUCAGAGUAUGCGCAAAAAAAAAAAAAAAACGCAUUCUUCAUUGUAUCAUUCUCCAUUGGGCAUGUGUAUGGACAUGCCGAUUUGCUUCAUUCAGUUUAUGUGUCAGAGAGAAUUCGUAUGAGAGCUUAUUUAUGAGAUUCUAUCUUGGUGUAUAUUUUGGGUGAGAGUAUGAGUCAUCUAUUUGAUUUUUGUGAGAGAGACGAGCGACUUUUCUUUAGUAUCUCUGGAUCCUUGUUCUAUCCAUCAUUCCAUCUAUUUCGGAUGUGACUACUUUCUAUGCUUUGAUGCAGGUUGACCAUCACUCAUUUUUCUACCUCUUUGUCUUCUUGUAUCAUUGUUUUGUUCCUCCAUUCCACUCUACCUUAUCUGAUUUCUUUCUUUUCUCAUCCUUCUUGAUGUUUGACUUGAGUUCAGCAUCUACACUUUAUUAUUGCUUAUUCGAUAUGUUCAUCCCUUUAUCAUCACUUUUGGUAUGGGGACCCCUAGAUUCGGGACUCAUGACGUUUUCUAUGCAUUGCAUUUCAUGCACGAGGGGUAUGGGGAUUAUAUCAUUGGGAUCUUUGAGCCUAGUUUCCUUUCAUUUCUUUCACCCUAUUACCUUAGCCUACGUUACAUCCCGUGUCUGAAGACCACCCUGAGGCCAUUACUUUACAUCGUGUUUGACAACUCCCACGUGGGCAAUACUCGAGCUUGGUCGGAUAUUAUUUCUCAGAGCAUGAUGGAUGGGGAGUUGAGAUGAUGAUUUACAUUGGGUCAUACCCCUUUUAUCAGUGAUGGAUUUUCAAAGGCGACAUUAUCUACACUGGGGCAUACCCCGCUCAUCGAUGACAGUUUCUUAGUGGGAUGACGCUUUGCACUGAGGCAUAGUCAGAUGGUUUUUUCACUCGGUUUAUGAUGGAUUGGGAGUUGUGGGAUGACCCUACACUGAGGCAUAGCCAUUUCAGAGGGCAUUUUUAUUGGAGAUACAGUCACUCUACUUGAUAUUCUGCAUUGGGACACACUCCUCUCAUUGAUGAUGGAUUUUUCGAGACGAUGGCUUAUUUUGAGACAUGAUUGCUUCAGAGAUUAUGCAUGCAUUGAGGGAUGACAUUGACCUUGUUCUGAGGACACAUACUGAGGCAUAGUUGUCUCAUUGGUGAUGGACUUUGAUUGUUCAUUGGAGCAUAGUCACUUCAGUUGGUUUAUACUGGGGCAUAGCCACCACAUUCACAUUCAUGGAGCCCGGGGAUUCUGAUUCAUAUGGAUUACGUUGAGAUGUUUCCAUUUUGGCACCAGGGGUAGAGGUUGAUUGAUUUGUUGACUCGGAUACACUAUUUUACACUAGGGCAUAGCCGAGAUGGAGAGCAUUUUUCAUUGGAGCAUAGCCACCCUAUUUGGAUCCUUUAUACUGGGGCAUGUCCAUCUUUUGGAGGGAGAUCAGAUUGGUUCUUGACAUUGGAGCAUCUGGCGAGUGAUAUGAAGAUCAUUAGAUUAUUUCAUGUUGUCCUCAUUGCAUACUGGGGCAUAGCCGCCUAGUUGGAUGUUUUGACAUUGAGAUUUGAUUUCCUAUUUGUGAUUACUGCUUUCGAUGGGUUUUGGAGCUAUUGACACCUUGGGUCUAGUCUUCUUGGCAUACUUAGAUGAUCUCAGAUACUUACAUACCUUUCAUUUUACACUCAGACAUUUCACCCUGGAUGCUCUCAUGCCUUCCAUCAUACCAAAGCCUGAUCAUCACCUUAUUUUAUCCUACACAUCCCACCGUGACACAUGACCUCAUCCCUAUCUCGAUUAGGAGGAGACGUAGAUCAGUCCUCGAUCAUCUUGGUUGUGUUGUCAUACAUCUUUUGGACUUUAGGUUCAACAUCUUCCAUGAUGGCAGGGCCUGACAGAUUGCCGAUUUAUUAGUGAUGAUGCUUUCAUUUUGACAGUUGGCACGAUGAGUGUUGAUUUUUGUUUGCUCUUUGCAUUUCGAGCAUUGGUCAUUAUUGUUGUCAUUCAUCAGUUAGUUUUGUUUUGUCAGCAUGAUGUCGUGACACAUGGUCCUGUUUGGCAUUACCCAUCUGAGGUUGGACAUUUUCAUUACUUGAUGGAUGAGCAUAUUUCAGAGUACAGUGGUUUGGAGGCAUUUUGCAUAUCUGUUUAUUCGUCAUUGCAUAUUGGGGCAUAUCCUCAUUCCCCGAGAGCACUAGACCUUCCACAGGUUUCGUUCACCUUUUUUAUCUAGUUGUCGAUCCUCUGAGUUGUCAUACUGGGGCAUACCCCCUUCUCCGAGAGCAUCAGACCUUCCACAUGUUUCAUUCACUUUUCGAUCUAGUUGUUGACCCCUAUGAGUCACAUACUGGGGCAUAUCCCUCUUCCCUAGGAUCAUCGGACCUUUUAGGGGCUUCGUUAUCUUUUGACCUAGUUUUCGAUCCUCAUGAGUUGUCAUACUGGGGCAUAUCCCCUCCAGUCGAGUUUGCUUGCAUCAUUAUCUGAGUCAUCCUUUGGUUUUGGGUCACUUGAUCAGGUCAGUCAUCUCCUUGUCAUGUCAGUUCGAGUUUUCUGGGACCGCACCUAUAUCGAUCGGUCAUCAUCUUGUCAGUUUGAGUUUGAGUUUUCGAGUUGGGGCCGCACCUAUAUCGAUCGGCCAUCUCCUUAUCAUGUCAGUUCAGUUUCUGGGACCGCACCUAUAUCGAUCGGUCAUCAUCUUAUCAGUUUGAGUUUGAGUCGAGGCUGCACCUAUAUCGAUCGGCCAUCUCCUUGUCAUGUCAGUUCAGUUUCUAGGACCGCACCUAUAUCGAUCGGUCAUUAUCGUGUCAGUUUGAGUCGAGGCCACACCUAUAUCGAUCGGUCAUCUCCUUGUCAUGUCAGUUCAGUUUCUGGGACCACACCUAUAUCGAUUGGCCAUGUUCCUAUCAUGUUAGUUCAGUUUGAGUCGGGACCGCACCUAUAUCAAUCGGUCAUCAUCUUGUCAGUUCGAGUUCAGUUUGAGUCGAGACCGCACCUAUAUCAAUCGGCCAUGUUCCUAUCACUUUCAUGUUCAAUUCGAGUCAGGACCGCAUCUAUAUCGAUCGGUCAUUUUCCAUGUCAGUUUGUUUCUUCAGGACCGCACCUAUAUCGAUCGGUCAUCAUCUUAUCAGUUUGAGUUUGAGUCGGGGGCGCACCUAUAUCGAUUGGCCAUCUUCUUGUCAUGUUAGUUCAGUGUGAGUCGGGACCGCACCUAUAUCAAUCGGUUAUCAUCUUAUCAGUUUGAGUUUGAGUCGAGGCCGCACCUAUAUCUAUCGGUCAUUGUUUUAUCAGUUUGUGUUUAGUCUUGUUCGUCUCCGAGUCACGCCUACAUAGUUGAGUCUUGUUCGAUUUUGAGUCACUUUUGAAGACGUCUUAGAGGGACCCUAGAUCCUUAGUGUGGCUUCAAAGGCAUUUUGGGACAUCAUUUUGUUUUAGGUUUAGAGCGUUUGUUCAUUUGUUGGCCUGAGUGAACUCAUGUUUCACCAGUGUCCCUAUAGGGGUCUCCUCGUUUCUUCGGUAGAGUUCACUCCUUUCCACUCACUAUUCACACUUUCUUUUCACUUUAGUAUUCAUAUUCCUGACACUCGUGAACUCUACCAAAGAGGGGCAUAUUUGUAGACCACUCUUUUGGUUUUGUUUAUAUAUAUAUAUAUAUAUAUAUUUGUUUCAUUCAUUCUAAGCUUUUUCCCGCCACCUUUGAGGAGUGGCUGGGUAGGGACGACUUCUAAGGGCGAGCUACUAGAGACGCGUGGCUGGGGGAACUGACCAUCACCAUGGUGGUGGUUGGGACGGCGACGGGCUAAUCAGUGAAUAGGAGAGCAGGUCCAGGGCUGACGGAAGAAAAGAAAGUUUUGACUGAAAGCUGAAUGGGAAAGGAGGCCCAGGCGGAGUCGUAGAGAGCAGGGAAAGAGCUUGUUAGUUCGAUCCAGAGCCACAAGAUGGUUUUGGGUUGAAUGUGAUUAUCUGCCCAUAUAUGCUCUGUUUUGGUCCUCUUUGCUGCUCUCGUUUUUUUUUUCCUUUGUAAAUGGCCUAUGUGCAUGGAGAAAAGUUUAACUUGUCCAAGCAAAGGCUUCAUGUUCUUAUGAUGAAUAACACGGUUACCACAUGCCUACGCCUUCUUCACUAUUCGCGUCAGCCAUACCCAUUUCCUCACUCAAGCUUGCAGGAAUCAAGCAUCCUCUACCACACCCAUUUUCCUCUCAUUCAUUCUCCACCCCACUCCCUCACUUACAUGGAGUCUCAUGGGUGCAUGCUAUCCUUGACUCCUUCACAUACCCAUUAAAACCACUCACCCAAGCCUCCAUAUCUAUACAACCCAUACCCAUCCUUCAUGCUACUCAUAACCAUGUUCUACCAUACCCAUGUAUACACCCAUUUAACCAUACCACCAAACUGGUUUCUCUCUCUAAACCUUCACCUACUUGUGGGAUCCUCCCUAAAAAAUGUCACGUGGCUCUCUCUCCCUUGCACACGCAGACGGUCCCCCUUGCGACGCGCGGCAUAGCUCAUUCCACCCGGGAAAGAAUUAUGUCCGGCCGACGUUCAACCUUCUCCGGAUAUCUCACAUUCGGAAUUCUGUCCGGCCAACGUUCCACCUUCUCCAGAUAUCUCACAUCCGGAAUUCUGUCCGGUCGACGUUCCACCUUCUCCGGAUAUCUCGCAUCCGGAAUUCUGUCCAACCGACGUUCCACUUUCUCCGGAUAUUUCACAUCCGGCGCAUGACGCCGAAUGGGAGAGGAUGGCGAUUCAACUUCCCCGAUCAGACAUGUCCGGAUCCUCUGAUAGCGCUUUAUGGAUCACUGCCCAGGUACACAUCCACAUCCGCUCGGGUCAUUUUCUAUAUGCAUGUUUAGAUUCUCACAUGUGCAUGAUCACUCUGAGUAUUCAUUGAUUCCCUUAUCAAUUGCCAUGAUUGCUUCAUUUUAUUAGUAGAGACCUGUUUUAGAGACUUAGAGGGGUGCUACGGUCUUUACCGUACCUUCCCGAUAAGUAACCUGACCCCCGAACCCGAUCCGGUUUUUCACAAAUCACCUUUUCCAAAGUAAGGAGUCACACUUAGGAUUUUUUUUCUUUCUUAUUUUGUUUACCCUUUAAAAAUAAAACAAAAAUAAGUGGCAACUCCAAGUCAUUUUUUUCAACCAAAUAAAUAAAUCAAUUUUUCAAAAUAAAAAUCAAGCUCGCCAUCGAGUGGGGAGCGCAUGAGCCGAAAUGCAGGGUCCACAAUCAAUUUCUUUAAUAAAACAACUUCAAAAAUUCUAUUAUUACUUUUUAUAUCAUUUAUUUAGAUUUUUUUCUUAAUAUUUUCAUAAGUUUUGAUCAAUUUUUAUUUUAUUGAUAAUUUAUGUCAAAAUAUCCAUCAAUAUUUUUUUAUAUAUCCGUAAAAAGUAUUAAAACUAUUAUGAUUAGAAAAAUAUGUAAAUAUUGUAUGAAAUUAAAAAAAUAAUCAUAAAAUUAUUUUGUUACUAGCUAGAUCAUAUUUAUCAUACAACUAUGACGAAAAAAAUUUCAUACUCGUGAGAAAAUAAUUAUUUUUAUAACAAAUUAUGUGUAGUAUUAUUAUCCAUUAUAAUAACACUGUUUCAGUGACUAGUAAUUUUCAUUAAACUGAGGGGGAGGGACUUGACCCCAACUUGACGAGAGAGAGAGAGAGAGAGAGAGUGAGAAAUGUAUUCCGCAAUCAGAGAGAGAGAGAGAGUGUUUUCCGCAAUCAAAGAGAGAGAGGAAAUACAUUUUUUCCACAAUCAGGGAGAUAGAGAAAGCGUAGGAUCCGUGGAACCCAAGAUUUAUUCUUUUCAGAACAUACAAGUGAUAGAUCCAUCUUUACCACAGAUAUUACAUCCCAGAGUCAAUAUAGGCCAUUUAAAACCUGUAAACAACUAAUACAACUAGCAGUGGAAGCAAGACACAUGUUCAUGGGAAAUAUAGGCCUGCAAGAUUUACAAAAUUCAAUGUUAAUUAGUAUAUACAGAUAUUGCAGAAUGUCAUAGCAACUAAAUUAAUAUGAAAAUCAAAAGUUGUGAAGUUGGGUUUCGGUUUCAGAUCUUACUGCCACACUUGAAGUGAUGAGGGACCUUCCUUCCACAGGUUUGGAGGAUCUUGAUGGCCUUGUUGAUGUCUAUGAGUGCGGCCAACUUGGGGUUGACGGCCGGACAUACGGACUCCCAGUGGCUCACCCUUAUGCGCUGGCAACACGCAGGCGAUGCAGGCUGCCCAAACACCACUGCCUUGCAUGAAUUGAUGCCUAGCUGUCUUUCCUGCUUACACUGGCUGGGACUCAACUCUUCACCUUCCACCACCCUCGCCAUUAACAUCAUUCCCAGCAAGAUCAGCACCCAGAAGGCCCAUGAAGAACUACUGCAU
rnacentral:lncRNA from 1 species